ACCAGGGAAUGACCAAUCUGAUUCCCAAAUCCUAACUUUCUGGGGCCAUUCUCAUCCUCUGUCAGUCUGGGUCCAAUCAAGAGACAGAAACCACACUAUGAUUUUUUUUUUUACUUUUUAUUAUUUUUUUCACACUAUGAUUUAAAAAGGAGAGAAAACAGAGUUUCCCAGCCCUUUCUGCCAUCUGAGGACACAGCAUGAGGUCUAUGACCCAGAAGAGGGCCCUUAUCCAACCAUGCUGGCAUGCUGAUCUCAGGCUCCCAGCCUCCAGAACUGGCAGGAGAAUCUUGUGGAUUUUGAAUGAGGACUUUUUUUCCUGAAUCCUGAAGCUUCCCUGUUCUGCCAUCUAGUGUUCACUGGUGUCUCAGAGGGUCAUGUGUAAGGAGUUUCUUUAUCUGUUUCUCAAUGGCAGUGCUACCAACAUUUUGUGGCAAGGCAAUUUCUAGUUGAGGGAUUGCUUCUGAGGUAUUUGGGGAUGUUUAUAUUCUUGUCCCCCACCCACAUCCCCCCAGGCAUUGUGGGCUGAAAACACUCCCACAUGUUUUCAAAUGUGCCCCAGUACCCUAACCUUUGAAAACCACUGCAGGAAGGGUUAAUGGUG